UACGUAGGGGGCAAGCGUUGUCCGGAAUCAUUGGGCGUAAAGAGCGUGUAGGCGGCUCGAUAAGUCUGCUGUGAAAGUCCAGGGCUCAACCCCGGGAGGCGGGCGGAUACUGUCGGGCUAGAGUCCGGAAGAGGCAAGUGGAAUUCCUGGUGUAGCGGUGAAAUGCGCAGAUAUCAGGAGGAACACCGAUGGCGAAGGCAGCUUGCUGGGACGGUACUGACGCUGAGACGCGAAAGCGUGGGGAGCAAACAGG
rnacentral:rRNA from 1 species